GAUGAACGCUGGCGGCGUGCCUAAUACAUGCAAGUCGAGCGAAUGGAUUAAGAGCUUGCUCUUAUGAAGUUAGCGGCGGACGGGUGAGUAACACGUGGGUAACCUGCCCAUAAGACUGGGAUAACUCCGGGAAACCGGGGCUAAUACCGGAUAACAUUUUGAACCGCAUGGUUCGAAAUUGAAAGGCGGCUUCGGCUGUCACUUAUGGAUGGACCCGCGUCGCAUUAGCUAGUUGGUGAGGUAACGGCUCACCAAGGCAACGAUGCGUAGCCGACCUGAGAGGGUGACCGGCCACACUGGGACUGGGACACGGCCCAGACUCCUACGGGAGGCAGCAGUAGGGAAUCUUCCGCAAUGGACGAAAGUCUGACGGAGCAACGCCGCGUGAGUGAUGAAGGCUUUCGGGUCGUAAAACUCUGUUGUUAGGGAAGAACAAGUGCUAGUUGAAUAAGCAGGCACCUUGACGGUACCUAACCAGAAAGCCACGGCUAACUACGUGCCAGCCGCCGCGGUAA
rnacentral:rRNA from 1 species